UACGUAGGUGACGAGCGUUAUCCGGAAUUACUGGGCGUAAAGCGCACGCAAGCGGUUGGCCAAGUCUGACGUGAAAUCUCCUGGCUUAACUGGGAGGGGUCGUUGGAAACUGGCGAGCUUGAGGCGAUGAGAGGGAUGCAGAAUUCCUGGUGUAGUGGUGGAAUGCGUAGAGAUCAGGAGGAAUACCUGUGGCGAAAGCGGCAUCCUGGCAUCGUACUGACGCUCAUGUGCGAAAGCGUGGGGAGUGAACGGG
rnacentral:rRNA from 1 species